rnacentral:lncRNA from 10 species
CUGUUUUAUAGUAUUUGGGAAGGUAAUGGAAAAUUACAGUCAAAGGGCGGGCAGGAGUGGGGGGUCGCAAGGUGCUCAGUGGGGGUGCUUCUGAGCCAGGAGAAGGAAAUUUGCAGGGUUAAUCACUCAGUUAAGGUGGGGCAGGAACAAAUCACAAUGGUGGAAUGUCAUCAGUUAAGGCGGGGCAGGGCCUUUUCACUUCUUUUGUGAUUCUUCAGUUACUUCAGGCCAUCUGGGUGUAUAUGUGCAAGGCACAGGGGAUGCGAUGGCUUGGCUUGGGCUCAGAGGCCUGACAGUGGCACACGCCUGUAAUCCCAGCUACUUGGGAGCCUGAGGCAGGAGAAUCACUUGAACCCAGGAGGUGCAGGGUGCAGUGAGCCGAGAUCGCCCCACUGCACUCCAGCCUGGGCAACAGAGACUCCAUCUCAAAAAAACAAAAAAAAAAGCACAGGUCCCCUCCCUCAGUCCUGCAGACUUCCUCAAGCUGGGAAGGACCAAGGAUUUUGGGAAAUAACUCCACCGGCUUACAGACAGUGCACCCCAGGACAAAGAGUCAUGGUGUAAAUUUUAAUUAUCCUUUGUAGAGGCUUCAAAAAAAAAAAAAUCUAGAGUGCAGAGGUGCCUUGCCUAAGGUUUACAUAGUUCCAUUUGAGUGCCUACAUGGGAGUGCUUCAUUUGGUCCCCAAAGCUAGCCUGAGACAAGAACUUUCUUCUCCCCCCCCCGCAAGAGACAGGCUCUUCCCAUGUUGCCCAGGCUGCUCUCCAACUCCUGGCCUCAGGCGAUCCUCCCACCUCGGCCUCCUGAAGUGUUGGGAUGACAGCCAUGAGCCACUGUGCCUGCCCAGUUAUUAUUUUAUAAAUGUAGAAACCGAGGCACUGAGAGGUAAAGUAACUUGCACAGGAUCACAAGCCAGCCGAGAAGUGGUAGAGCUUGGAUUUGAACUUACACAAUCUGGGACUCAUACUCUUAAUACACAGUGGUACUGUCAAUACAGGAGACACAUGUGGCUAUUUAAUUAAAAGUAGUUGGGCAGAGUGGCUCACUCCUAUAAUCUCAGCAUUUGGGGAGGCCAAGGCAGGAAGAUUGUUUGAGCCCAGAAGUUCAACACUGCAGUGAGCUAUAGUUACACCACUGUGCUCCAGCCUGGGCGACACAGCGAGACCCUGACUCCAAAAAAAAAUCUUAAGGUUUUUUUUUUUUUUUUUUUUUUUUUGAGACAGGGUCUCGCUCUGUUGCCCAGGCUAGAAUUUAGCGGCACGAUCACAGAUCAUCACAGCCACGCACGACCUCCUUGGCUCAAGGGAUUCCUCCCACCUCAGCCUCUCACGUAGCUGGGACUACAGGUAUGCAUAACCUCGCUGGGCUCGUUACUUUGUUUUUUUUUUAGAGGCAGGAUUUCACCAUGUUGCCCAGGGUGGUCUCGUACUCCUGGAUUCAAGCAAUCCUCCUGCUUCGGCCUCCCAAAGUGUCAGGAUUACAGGCGUGAGCCACUGUGCCCAGUCUCAAACAAAAUUAAAAAUUCAGUUUCUCAGUCACACUAGCCACAUUUCAAGUGCUCAGAAACUUUAUGUGGGGCCAGGCAUGGUGGCUCAUGCCUGCAAUCCCAGCACUUUGGGAGGCCGAGGCGGGCGGAUCACGAGGUCAGGAGUUCGAGACCAGCCUAACCAACAUGGUGAAACCCUGUCUCUACUAAAAAAAUACAAAAAUUAGCCGGGCGUGGUGGUGUGCGCCUGUAAUCUCAGCUACUUGGGAGGUUGAGGCGGGAGCAUUGCUUGAACCCGGGAGGCGGAGGAUGUGGUGAGCCGACGUCGUGCCAUUGCACUCCAGCCUGGGCAAUAAGAGCGAAACUCCGUCUCAAAAAAAAAAAACAAAGGUUUAUGUGGCCACUGGCUACUGUACUGGACAGUACAGACCUAGAACAUGAACCAAACAUCACAGAAAGUUCCAGUGGAGAACACUGCUACAUAUCUGCCUGUUUUAGUUAGAAGCCAACAUUUUAUUUUUAUUUUAUUUUAUUUUUUGAGAUGGAGUUUCGCUGCUGUUGCCCAGGCUGGAGUGCAAUGGUGCGAUCUCGGCUCACCACAACCUCCGCCUCCCAGGUUCAAGCAAUUCUCCUGCCUCAGCCUCCUGAGUAGCUGGGAUCACAGGCAUGCUCCACCACGCCCAGCUAAUUUUGUAUUUUUAGUAGAGAUGGGGUUUCU